AAAUAAUGCAGGUAUCGAUUAUCAGGGGAUGAAAAAGUAUCGGAGCACACAGCCAUUUGUACCAGAAAAUUUUCGAGUUCCCACAAAAUAUUUCCCCAAAAAAGAAGAAAAAAGAUAAUAAAAGGAGAAAUUGAGAGGAAAAAUUCUAAGCAAUAGAAAGAAUGUCACUGUACUGUAGGUAUGACCUUUGAAAUACAAUUAUAAGUGUAUCCAUCUUUUAUUUAUUUAAACAUAUUUUGAGAAACGUUUGCCACAAGAGCUAAUAAGCUCAUCAAGGGGGCUUAUAUAUACGCCUAUUUACAUGUUGUAUUUAAAUAAAUAACAUCAGUCAGGAG
rnacentral:lncRNA from 1 species